UGCAUUUGCAAUAGGAAUGAGAUUUAUAAUGGCUGGGACAAGAAGCGUCUUUAAUAUGGUCAUUUACAGAAAGGCCUAAGCGAGCGUUGCAGUUGCAGAUGGAAAAGCACAGAGCAGGGAAUAGACGACGGCGCUUGGUGGUGGUACCAGCUCCUUUUCAAGGCCACUUAACCCCAAUGCUUCAACUGGCUUCCAUCCUUCAUUCUAAUGGCUUCUCCAUAACCAUAGCUCACACCCGCUUCAAUUCUCCAGAUCCUUCCAAUCAUCCCCACUUCUCCUUCCUCCCUUUCUCUGAUGGUUUAUCUCAUUCUGAUUCCAUCUCCUCCCAUAAUCUUACCGCCAUCACUGAUACUCUUUCCGCCAACUGCGCUUCUCCUUUUAGAGACUUACUGCUCCGCUUGACCACACAAAACAUCGCCUGCAUCGUCCAUGAUGGUUUGAUGUACUUCGUUGAUUCCGUGGCUCAACAACUCAACCUCCCUACAAUACUCCUUCGAACCACUUGUGCUACCAAUGUACUGGCCUAUCAUUCUCUGCAUCGCCUACUCAGUGAAGGUUGCCUUCCUCUGCAAGCGAAUGAAACAUGUCGGCAUGCAGAUGAAAGGGUGGUGCCAGGACUGGAGCCGUUGAGGUUCAAAGAUCUACCUACUUUCAUUUCGACAAAUUCUGAUGUGCUGCAGUAUCAAUUGAAUAAAGUACAACAUGGCAUAAAAUCAUCGUUAGGUGUCAUAUUUAACACAGUGGACUGCCUUGAAGGGCACAGGGUGGAUGAGCUGAGGCAAAUAUACCAAGUCCCUAUAUUCCCGAUAGGCGCGUUUCACGGCAUGGCUCCAGAUUCAAGCUCUAGCUUUCUAGAACAGGAUCAUAGCUGCAUAGCUUGGCUGCACGAGCAAGCCCCAAGAUCAGUGUUGUACGUGAGUCUGGGAAGCAUCAUAACAUGGGAGGAAAAAGAGCUGACAGAGAUGGUUUACGGGUUACUGAGUAGCAAGCAGAAAUUCCUGUGGGUGGUUCGAGCGAGGGCCAUAGAUGUGACGGAGUGGGUAGAAUCAUUGGCUGAGGACGUGAGAAAAGCGAUAGGAGACAGAGGAUGCAUGGUGAGAUGGGCACCGCAAAAGGAGGUUCUGGCACACGAAGCCGUGGGAGGGUUUUGGAGUCACUGUGGGUGGAAUUCGACGUUGGAGAGUAUGUACGAAGGAAAGCCAAUGAUAUGCCAAGCUCAUUUUGGGGAUCAGAGGGUGAACUCGAGGCUGGCGAGCCAUGUGUGGAAGGUGGGCGUAGAAUGGUCCGGCGACGUCAUGGAAAGGGGGGACGUGGAAAAAGCUGUGACGAAACUAAUGGUGGAUCCGCAGGGGAAGCAGAUGUGGCAGAGAGCACAACAACUGAAGCGUCAGCUUAGGCAAGCCGUGACCCAAGGCGGCUCUUCCCGUAACACUUUAAUUCACUUGGUUGACCAUAUAUUGUCAUUCUCAUGAGAUAAAUGGCACCAUUUUGUCUUUGUUUGGUUUGAUUCCCGGCCGGUACGUUACUUAUGAAAUCACACACCACACUAGACUGUGGAUCCACCGAUAUGUCUACUGUUUUGUGCUGGGUUUGAAAAUGCCGUCUGUUUAUACUCUUCACCUUCGAGUCCUUCUCCUACCUUCAGAGCUCUCUUUGUUGGUCGCCAAGGCUAGCAGUGGCAUGUUAUUUACAGGGUUCAGAUUGGCCGAGCAUCAUCGGAGAAUGGGGUUCUUUUCUUCACUACAGCUGCUGCGAAGAAGCAUGUCAAGAAACAUGAUGUUAAAGUAGUUGAAUUAUGUACUUGAUUAUUCCGUCACCUAUCUACCACUCUCUUUCAAAAUAAUCGCCAGAGGUCCUGUUCUCUGUAUCUAUAGUUUCUUCUAGAAAAGUAAGUUGAGAACAGAGCUUGCCCGACUUCUAUGAAGCAGCGAUCAAACAAACAAUUGGUACGUAUUCCGGAACCGGUAAUGCCGUUGCCAACGGCUGACAGAUCAACGUUCCACGUGUCUAGGCAUUAGACGGACAAGGAUGACUUGAAAGUAAAUAAAAUGGAGCACGUAACGGGGUCCCACAAAAAAAAGAGUUCUUCAGACUAUCCGAACUUCUCUGCAGGGCAGGUCAAGUCCUGCUUGGAACAGCGGGUUCUCACCGUCACCAUUCCCAAAAUGCAGCCCCGGCUGCAUGAGUUCUAGCGGCCAGUCCCUUGGAUUCAUUUCUCGUGCGACGUUGCUCGCGUUGCCCAUGUCAUGCAUGAAUCCCAUAGAAUAAUAAAUCGUCACAUUCAAACAGGCUUUCAUUGUUCGGCCAGGAAAAAAGGCUUUCACUGCAACUAGUAAUUUAGAUCAAUUUCUAUAUACAUAUUUAUAUGUAUAUUUAUAUAUAUGUUAUGUAGUUUAUAUAGUGUAUGAUUUGUACCUUUGUUCAACCUUGCUGGACCAAGGCGGUGGAUGUUAUAUAGAGUCGGGUAAUUUAUUACAUGUUAA